rnacentral:rRNA from 1 species
GGCCGCGGGAAUUCGAUUCAGGCCUAACACAUGCAAGUCGAGCGGAGAUGAGGUGCUUGCACCUUAUCUUAAAAACGGACGGGUGAGUAAUGCUUAGGAAUCUGCCUAUUAGUGGGGGACAACAUUCCGAAAGGAAUGCUAAUACCGCAUACGUCCUACGGGAGAAAGCAGGGGAUCUUCGGACCUUGCGCUAAUAGAUGAGCCUAAGUCGGAUUAGCUAGUUGGUGGGGUAAAGGCCUACCAAGGCGACGAUCUGUAGCGGGUCUGAGAGGAUGAUCCGCCACACUGGGACUGAGACACGGCCCAGACUCCUACGGGAGGCAGCAGUGGGGAAUAUUGGACAAUGGGGGGAACCCUGAU